rnacentral:rRNA from 1 species
CGUACAAGGUUUCCGUAGGUGAACCUGCGGAAGGAUCAUUA